CCUACGGGUGGCUGCAGUGGGGAAUAUUGGACAAUGGGGGGAACCCUGAUCCAGCCAUGCCGCGUGUGUGAAGAAGGCCCUCGGGUUGUAAAGCACUUUCAGUGAGGAAGAACGCCUGGUGGUUAAUACCCAUCAGGAAAGACAUCACUCACAGAAGAAGCACCGGCUAACUCCGUGCCAGCAGCCGCGGUAAUACGGAGGGUGCGAGCGUUAAUCGGAAUUACUGGGCGUAAAGCGCGCGUAGGUGGCUUGAUAAGCCGGUUGUGAAAGCCCCGGGCUCAACCUGGGAACGGCAUCCGGAACUGUCAAGCUAGAGUGCAGGAGAGGAAGGUAGAAUUCCCGGUGUAGCGGUGAAAUGCUUAGAGAUCGGGAGGAAUACCAGUUGCGAAGGCGGCCUUCUGGACUGACACUGACACUGAGGUGCGAAAGCGUGGGUAGCGAACAGGAUUAGAUACCCUGGUAGUC
rnacentral:rRNA from 1 species